GUUUGUUGAGUAUGAGAAGUAUGGCUAAUUUCCAAUUAGACGGUUUGAGGUU
rnacentral:tRNA from 1 species